AUCCUUGGAAGUGCUCAAGGCCAGGUUGGACAGGGCUUGGAGCAGCCUGGGCUAGUGGAAGGUGCGUCCCUGCCCAUGGCAGGGGUGGCACUGGAUGACCUU